UAGGGAAUCUUCCGCAAUGGACGCAAGUCUGACGGAGCAACGCCGCGUGAGUGAAGAAGGAUUUCGGUUCGUAAAACUCUGUUGUUAGAGAAGAACAGCGCAUAGAGUAACUGUUAUGCGUGUGACGGUAUCUAACCAGAAAGCCACGGCUAACUACGUGCCAGCAGCCGCGGUAAUACGUAGGUGGCAAGCGUUGUCCGGAUUUAUUGGGCGUAAAGCGAGCGCAGGCGGUCAAUUAAGUCUGAUGUGAAAGCCCCCGGCUCAACCGGGGAGGGUCAUUGGAAACUGGUUGACUUGAGUGCAGAAGAGGAGAGUGGAAUUCCAUGUGUAGCGGUGAAAUGCGUAGAUAUAUGGAGGAACACCAGUGGCGAAGGCGACUCUAUGGUCUGUAACUGACGCUGAGGUUCGAAAGCGUGGGUAGCAAACAGG
rnacentral:rRNA from 1 species